GCUUGUCUCAAAGAUUAAGCCAUGCAUGUCUUAGUGUAAAUAACUCUUAUGAAACUGCGAAUGGCUCAUUAAAUCAGUUAUAGUUUAUUUGAUGGUUCCUUUACUUGGAUAACCCGAGUAAUUCUCUGGCUAACAAAUGCAGAAGACCCUUUAUUGGGUUGUAUUUAUUAGAUCUUUACUAACUCUGUUGGUGAGUCAUAAUAAGAUAACAGAUCGCAUCGAGGUAACUCGGCGACGGAUCAUUCAAGUUUCUGCCCUAUCAACUUUCGAUGGUACGGUAUUGGCCUACCAUGGUGACCACGGGUAACGGGGGAUUAGGGUUCGAUUCCGGAGAGGGAGCCUGAGAAAUGGCUACCACUUCUAAGGAAGGCAGCAGG
rnacentral:rRNA from 1 species